CAACCCCACAAACUUAAUCAGGAAUACCAAAGAAUUAAUCUGAACUAAUGUGAUUUUGUUUGGGGAUGCAGAUGGGAUAAUAACUGAGAAGUUCAGUUAUUUCAGAACGUGUCUAGAGGCAUCUACAUGACUUAGAUCCAUAGGUAAUCCGAUUCAUAUUUUUCUGAUAGCUGACUCAUAUUUCUAAGACAUCUUGUAUCUCCUCACCUCUCUCUGGUGGUAGUACGCAUUCAGUGAUAGGAGCUAAAGGACGCAGUGCAGAACUAAACCAGAAUUUAUGCAAAGUCAAUGAGCUGAAUUGAAAUAACUGAGUUGACUAAAUUAAUCUGAGCAGGAUCUGUCGCUUUCCCUAAAGGAACCCUGACUAACAAUAGCUUCUCCAACUGACAGUUGACUCUAACUUAAGUUCACUGCUUCUCUGCUGUUGCUAAUGUGCAGGUUCUGGGUCCUGAACUAAUUGCUGCCAGGUGGGUGACAGGAAACAGAGCUCCAAUCUUGUUCUCUGUUCUGAGAGAAAAUUCUGAUAUUCUUUGGAAAGAUAUAGAUGAAACCUAAUGUUUAUCAAGAAACUCUGUCUGUUAUCCUUCUUGGCUGAUACACAAGAAUAUAUGGUAGUCUUUGGCCAAAUUAAAACAUUAAAAUGGACUCCUUUUUUGAAGAGGGGUUGGGAGUAGGGGAUAACUAGUGGGAAAGGAAGGAAGGAACUAAAAUGAACUGAAUGCAUAUAGAAGCCAGGCAAUUUAUACACAUUACAUUAUCCUCCUAUGAAAUGCAAAUAGGCAUUUAAAUCUCCACUUUAUAUAUAAGGAAAUAAAGGUUCACAGAAGUUAAGUAACUUGAUUAAGAUCUCACAGUCAAUAAGCGGCAGAGACAGAACUUGAAAACAGUUCUUACUUCAAAAUCUAUUUUCUUUCCACAUUUCACACUGAUUCUAGAAACAUACGUAUUUAAAUAAACAUGCCCAUUGAAAAUAAUGAAGUUUGAAAAUAAGUUGUCAAUGAUUUUUUUCUUUAAUUGAUCUACUCUUAAAGAUUAUAUAACUAUCUUCUGGCUAAGUUUCGCUGUAUUAACAUUAUAAGUUUGUAAGCUGUAAACAACUCUAUAUGCCAAAAUUCUUAAAACAUCCAGACCCUUUGACUAAGGUUUUUUUCCUCUUGAUAUUAUAAAUUGGUCCAGAUUUGAUUGUAGAAAUGUCCAUCAUAACUUUGUCUAAUGCAGUGGAAUUUGAAAGUAAUCUAAAUGUCCAAAAUAAUGAAUUUGUUAAUCUUUGGCACACCGAUACUAAUGGAAUACUCUGCAGCCAUUAAAAAUUGUGUACUAGAAUAUUUAAUUAUCUAGAUAGAUGUUUUUGGUAUGUUAUUACUUUAAAAAGGGACUACAAACUGAAUGUAUGACAUAAUCUGAUUUUUGUAAAUAUAUAUUUAUAUAUGAAUAGAAAAAAGGCUUGAAGAAUAUAAUAUUAUGCAGCAGGCACUAUGAGUAUACACGUAUUACCUCCUUCAAUCUUUUCAAUAGCCUUCGCAUGUAGAUACUAUUAUUGUUACUGUAAUUUUGCAGCCAUGAAAACUGAGUCUUAGAGAGGCUAGGUAAAAUACUAGAUUUGCUAUGUAAAAAAUAACCUCCAAAUCUCAGUUUUUUAAAAGAAAUGAUUUUUUCUUUUCCUCAAGUUACAUGAUAACUAUGGGGCAGCUGAAGCACCCUCUGUGGAUCUGCUCCACAUGAUUUUCUCUCUGUGACCAGGGCUGAUGGAGCAACACUCGUCUGGAAUAUGCUGUUCUCAGGGCAGAGGAUGGUCCUGCCAGGGGAGCAACGCUUUGCUCAGAUGAGAGUCUAAAACUGCUCAGAAAAUGUUCUGAUACCUUUGAUUAGUCCAAAAGCUACUACUAUGGUUCAGCUGCAAAGAGUGCACCUGUGAUACCAGCUCCUAGCAAUCCAACACCAAUAAUCUUGAUUCUGCAAAUUUUCACUUCCAAGAAGUUUACAAAACACAUCUGUAAUAUUUAAAGAAAGAAAAAAUAUUUCCUGGAACUUUCACCUUUAGUGAGUUAGAAGAAUGCCAUUUGAAGUAAAUAGAGAUUCAUUGUUUCUCUGUAUUUCUCAAAGAAUCAGUAGAGAUAUUGAGAGGAAAAAGUUCUUUCUCAUAUAAAUUUGGAAUAUUGGAAAGAAAUUACUGGAAGAAAAGAAAAUAUUAGAAACAUGGGUAGUGAUGAAGCAAAGAAUCUGAAAUGCUUCACUCAAAACCUCUUGAACUGUGGAAACGAUGGGGAAGAGAGUAUGUCAAAUGAGAUCCCGGGGAAGGAAUGCGAGCUUGAUAGCUUGACCAACAGCAACAAAAUGACCUGAGAACUUACUAGAAAUGCAAAUCCUUGGGCCUCACCUUAGACUGAAUCAGAAACUCUGGGAGUGGGGCCAGCAAUCUGUUUUGACAAGCCCUUUGGGUGAUUCAAUUGCUGAUUAAAGUGAGAAAAUCACCACUUGAGUGCAGCAAGGAGAGCAGUGUGUUGGGAUGACAUGGGAGGUUUAAAAAUCUGUCAAAUAACAACAACAAAAAAAAUUCUUGUCCCUGUCAUCAACUUCCAUGUCAUGAGGAUAAAAGGGAAGUUUGAAAAAUUAUUUGAGAAAAUAUGGUAAGACUGGCAGCAAAUUGUAACUUUAAAAAUUAGUAGGCACAUUAGGCAAGCUUCUACCACACCUCUUUCUUACCCAGAUUCACACACACAAACCAGGCUGUCCAAAGCACAGUCCUGCUUAAUUAGAUACUGAGGAGCCAAAACUUUUCCACCCCCUCCCCUCAGUCCCUAAGACACAACACAUCAGUUUCCAUGAUUGCUGUUCAGCAGAACCAGGCCAAUCUGGUUUUUUGCAGCUUGCCUAUUAAAAAGUGACUUUCACACCCUCCUGGGUUAUGUACCAAGACCUUUGCCCUUUUGUGGCUUAGCAGAAUGAUUUAUUUGUGUCAUUAGUCAAUCUAUUAUUUCAUCCAAAAUAUUUCCAUUACCUGAAAUAAACUGCAGUCCCAAUGAUGA
rnacentral:lncRNA from 1 species